AUUGAACGCUGGCGGCAGGCCUAACACAUGCAAGUCGAGCGGAUGAAGGGAGCUUGCUCCUGGAUUCAGCGGCGGACGGGUGAGUAAUGCCUAGGAAUCUGCCUGGUAGUGGGGGAUAACGUCCGGAAACGGCCGCUAAUACCGCAUACGUCCUGAGGGAGAAAGUGGGGGAUCUUCGGACCUCACGCUAUCAGAUGAGCCUAGGUCGGAUUAGCUAGUUGGUGGGGUAAAGGCCUACCAAGGCGACGAUCCGUAACUGGUCUGAGAGGAUGAUCAGUCACACUGGAACUGAGACACGGUCCAGACUCCUACGGGAGGCAGCAGUGGGGAAUAUUGGACAAAGGGCGAAAGCCUGAUCCAGCCAUGCCGCGUGUGUGAAGAAGGUCUUCGGAUUGUAAAGCACUUUAAGUUGGGAGGAAGGGCAGUAAGUUAAUACCUUGCUGUUUUGACGUUACCAACAGAAUAAGCACCGGCUAACUUCGUG
rnacentral:rRNA from 1 species